CAAUACACCAACCACUCCAUUUCAGAAAGAAUUUAGUACGAACCUGAAUUGUUCAAUUUCAUGGACAAUUCGAUAUCGGAUUGAGUCCAAAACUAGGGGAAGAACAUAAUACGGUGGGAGGAGUCAUUUGGUGGGUUUUGAGUGAAAUCCAAUCUCUACAACUAUGCAACACACCAACCACUCCAUUUCAUAACGUACUUCGUACGAACCUGAAUUGUCCAAUUCCAUGGACCAAUCGAUAUAGGAUUGAGUCCAGAACUUGGGGAACAUCAUAACACGGUGG
rnacentral:lncRNA from 1 species